CAUAUUGGACAAUGGGGACAACCCUGAUCCAUCCAUGCCGCGUGUGUGAAGCAUGUCUUCGGGUUGUAAAGCUCUUUAAGUUGUGAGGAAGGGCUUUAGGCUAAUACACGGAACCUUUGACGUUAUCAACCGAAUCAGCACCGCCUCUCUUUGUUCCAGCAGCCGCGGUAAUACAGAGGGUGCAAGCGUUCAUCGGAAUUACUGGGCGUAAAGCGCGCGUAGGUGGUUCAGUAAGAUGGGUGUGAAAUCCCCGGGCUUAAACUGGGAACUGCUUUCAUAACUGCUGAGCUAGAGUACGGUAGAGGGUAGUGGAAUUUCCUGUGUAGCGGUGAAAUGCGUAGAUAUAGGAAGGAACACCAGUGGCGAAGGCGACUACCUGGACUGAUACUGACACUGAGGUGCGAAAGCGUGGGGAGCAAACA
rnacentral:rRNA from 1 species